rnacentral:rRNA from 1 species
AGCGAACGCUGGCGGCAGGCCUAACACAUGCAAGUCGAACGAACCUUUCGGGGUUAGUGGCGGACGGGUGAGUAACACGUGGGAACGUGCCUUUAGGUUCGGAAUAACUCAGGGAAACUUGUGCUAAUACCGAAUGUGCCCUUCGGGGGAAAGAUUUAUCGCCUUUAGAGCGGCCCGCGUCUGAUUAGCUAGUUGGUUGAGGUAAUGGCUCACCAAGGCGACGAUCAGUAGCUGGUCUGAGAGGAUGAUCAGCCACAUUGGGACUGAGACACGGCCCAAACUCCUACGGGAGGCAGCAGUGGGGAAUCUUGCGCAAUGGGCGAAAGCCUGACGCAGCCAUGCCGCGUGAAUGAUGAAGGUCUUAGGGUUGUAAAGCUCUUUCAGCUGGGAAGAUAAUGACGGUACCAGCAGAAGAAGCCCCGGCUAACUCCGUG